rnacentral:ncRNA from 2 species
UGAAUACUGUCGUUGUUUGAUUCCAGCUCUGCUGGAUGAGGGGGAAGUUCGGUGAGAUUCCGUCGCAACCACCAUUUCCGUGAUUGAGCAGUCUGCUGUUCAUAAGCCGGAAUACCUGUCAAAUGACCGGAACGGCC